GACGAACGCUGGCGGCGUGCCUAAUACAUGCAAGUCGAACGCUUCUUUUUCCACCGGAGCUUGCUCCAUCGGAAAAAGAGGAGUGGCGAACGGGUGAGUAACACGUGGGUAACCUGCCCAUCAGAAGGGGAUAACACUUGGAAACAGGUGCUAAUACCGUAUAACAAUCGAAACCGCAUGGUUUUGAUUUGAAAGGCGCUUUAGGGUGUCGCAGAUGCAUGGACACGCGGUGCAUUAGCUAGUUGGUGAGGUAACGGCUCACCAAGGCGACGAUGCAUAGCCGACCUGAGAGGGUGAUCGGCCACAUUGGGACUGAGACACGGCCCAAACUCCUACGGGAGGCAGCAGUAGGGAAUCUUCGGCAAUGGACGAAAGUCUGACCGAGCAACGCCGCGUGAGUGAAGAAGGUUUUCGGAUCGUAAAACUCUGUUGUUAGAGAAGAACAAGGAUGAGAGUAACUGUUCAUCCCUUGACGGUAUCUAACCAGGAAGCCACGGCUAACUACGUGCCAGCAGCCGCAGUAA
rnacentral:rRNA from 1 species